AGAAAAGACAGAGCAGAUCAAGAGAACAAGGAGAAGAGGACAUGGGGUCAGCUACUCAGCAAGACAUGGAGUAAGAGCAAAAAUCUAGGAUCCCAAAUGUGAAGACUCUUUCAGGACCAGGGCAUGCUGACCAAGGUCUCUGUCACUCAAGAAGUUCUCGGUAUGGAUUUUAUCGUGUGAAGUGGGCCUUUGUUGGAGAAAAUUCGGUCAGCCUACCCAAGUCACAGUCGUCCUGUCCCUGGUGCCCAGGCCAACCCUCAUGCUCCUAGGAAUGAUCAGUGGGCACUUCCUGCCUGAGCCCGCCUCUACACCCAGAGAUGCUGACACAGAGACACCUGACCCAGAGACACCAACGAGGAAAGAACACACAGGAGAGUCAGUGCCUGGGCCAAUGGGACCUUGGGAGGGGGUAUAAAGUCAGGUCUAACUUCCUGAAUAAACGAGUCUGCAGCCUGCUCUGCUACUCACUGACUCCCA